GUGCUUGCUUCAGUAACCCAGAUUCUAAAAUUCAAACCACAUGCUUAACAUGGCCCCUGCACAAGGGUGUAUACAAAUCUGUGAAGGAGUCCAUAUUUUU
rnacentral:snRNA from 14 species